rnacentral:misc_RNA from 1 species
CCUUUAACUCAUUAUUCUCCUCUUUUAAAAAAUCUACUCAUCUGCAUCUGUGAUGUCACUGAAAUCUUUGCAAAAUUAAAAAAUAAAAAUUAAAAAUACAACACGAGCAUAAUAUCACUAAAGACUGCAAAACCAGGCUCCUCAGCCAAGCGCUUUGUUUAGCAGACACCAGCAUCUUGAUUCUUGACAACCACCAAAUAAUGACUACUCAAAAUCAGCAGUACUGUUGCGUAAAAACGUCAUCUACAAUGUCAGGCUUUCUGGGUUCUCAACAAUCUUUGCAAAGGUUUGAAGGAAGGCAGCCAAGUCAGCACCAUAGACAAUUCGGUGGUCGGCUGUUACAUUCACCAGCAUUUUACUUUUCACACUGAAGAAUCCAUCUGCAUCAGCCACCACAGUUGGUUUUGAUGCUCCAACAGCCAUUAUAGCCCCCUGACCAGGAGGAAG